rnacentral:rRNA from 1 species
UAGGGAAUAUUGGACAAUGGGGGCAACCCUGAUCCAGCCAUGCCGCGUGAGUGAAGAAGGCCCUCGGGUUGUAAAGCUCUUUUGUCCGGAAAGAAAAGCAUUCGGUGAAUACCCGGAUGUUCUGACGGUACCGGAAGAAUAAGCACCGGCUAACUUCGUGCCAGCAGCCGCGGUAAUACGAAGGGUGCAAGCGUUACUCGGAAUUACUGGGCGUAAAGCGUGCGUAGGUGGUUGUUUAAGUCUGAUGUGAAGGCCCUGGGCUCAACCUGGGAAUGGCAUUGGAAACUGGGCAGCUAGAGUGCGGUAGAGGGUAGUGGAAUUCCCGGUGUAGCAGUGAAAUGCGUAGAGAUCGGGAGGAACAUCUGUGGCGAAGGCGACUGCCUGGACCAGCACUGACACUGAGGCACGAAAGCGUGGGGAGCAAACA